rnacentral:rRNA from 1 species
GACGAACGCUGGCGGCGUGCCUAACACAUGCAAGUCGAGCGAUGAAGCUUCUUCGGAAGUGGAUUAGCGGCGGACGGGUGAGUAACACGUGGGUAACCUGCCUCAUAGUGGGGAAUAGCCUCUCGAAAGGGAGAUUAAUACCGCAUAAGAUUGUAGUUCCGCAUGGAAUAGCAAUUAAAGGAUCUAUUCGCUAUGAGAUGGACCCGCGGCGCAUUAGCUAGUUGGUGAGGUAACGGCUCACCAAGGCGACGAUGCGUAGCCGACCUGAGAGGGUGAUCGGCCACAUUGGGACUGAGACACGGCCCAGACUCCUACGGGAGGCAGCAGUGGGGAAUAUUGCACAAUGGGGGAAACCCUGAUGCAGCAACGCCGCGUGAGUGAUGACGGCCUUCGGGUUGUAAAGCUCUGUCUUCAGGGACGAUAAUGACGGUACCUGAGGAGGAAGCCACGGCUAACUACGUGCCAGCAGCCGCCGCGG